rnacentral:lncRNA from 1 species
CCAUCAUCCACAACAUCUCAGCUCCAAAAUCUGCACACAAGGUGCAUAAGUAUAGUAAGAGUACAACCGACCCCAUGUACUAAACUUGUAUCAUAACUACCCUUGAUGAGGUAAUAAAAGCAAGAAUUAUAAAUGAUACUUGCUAAUCACCUGUACAGUUCAUAAUUCCAACAAAUAUUGAAUAAUAAUAUGAUCAAAUCACAAAAUCAUAGAUAAAACCACCUCGGUGCCCACAAUUUUCUUAACGUACUCUACUCAGUCAAUAAUCCAGCAUAUAAGGAAAAUAUGCAAAUAAAUCAGGUAAAACAACCAAGGAAAUUUCAAGUAAAGAGAAAUGUAAUAACUAAAUAUCAAUCAGUUGCGGCGCGCAACCCGAUCCAAAUAGAAAUUACAAUACAGCUCCAAUGCCCACAUUAGAAUCUCAAUAACCGAAUCAAACCAUUGACCAACCUUCCCAAGGCCUACAUCAACUAAAAACCCAUCAGUUUUUCAAAAUCCGGCGUGUACGCCAUCAAGAAGACACUUGAGAGAGUGACCUUAGGGGGAUGGAUCCAUAUCCAUACUUAGCACGAAUAACUCACGUGCUAUCAUAAACUACACGGCAUGGUCACUGGCUCAAUAUCACAAUCCGCCCAGCAUUGUCAUAGGCUCAAUAUCAGGAUUCGUCCGACGUGGCCACAAGCUCAAUAUCACAAUCUUCCCGACGUGGUCACAGACUCAAUAUCACAAUUUUUCGGUAUGGUCACAUGCUCAAUAUCACAAUACAUCUGGCGUGGUCAUAGGCUCAAUAUCACAAUACUCUCAGUGUGUUCACAGGCUCAAUAUCACAGUCCACCCGACGUGGUCACAUGCUACUAGUCCAAACGAUAUCACAUAGAAAUAAGAUAUACAAGAAUACAUGUACAUGAUCAAUGAACAUCAAAUUUCAUGCUCAUGGACUGGUAUAAGUAACAUGCUAAAGUGUAGGCAUGUGAAAUAUGUGCUAUCAUAGCUCAAUCUGCAAUUACAUCCUGAAUGUAGCAAUUAUUAGGUUCAAUCAGGAGAGUAACCUCUAUGUAACCUCAAACAUGACUCAAAUAGCUCACAAUAGGGGUGCAAAUAUAAGAAACAUCACAUCACAAAGCUUAGCAAUCAAUUCAAGGUAUAUCAUAACCUAAAAACUACCCGAACAUGGAUUUUAAAUAUCCUAGUGCAUGUACAUGGGCUCAACCCCGCACAUGUGCGCCACCCAUAACAUGUAGCAAUCACAAAAAACUCAGGCAACUAGUGUUUCAACCAAAUUUAGGUAAGAUACUUACAAUAAGCAAGCCAAACCGAUACUCUAGAAGCACAAUCCUAGACGAAUCGAUCUCCAAAUGGCUCAAACUAGCCAAAAGCAACUCAAAAUCUUCAAAUAAUGCCACACGAAUCAAACGUAAAUGAUAACGGUCAAAUCUUUAAUCAAAUACUCAAAGUCAACUAAAAAGUCAACACGGGCUCGUACAAUGGAGCCCGAAAAAACUCAUAAAUUAUGAUAACUCAUUCGAAUACGAGUCCAACCAUACUAAUCUCAUCCAAUUCCUAUUCUGAAUCGACGUUCAAAACUCAGUUAUCACUUUAGAAUUUUUUUUAUCAAAACACCCAAUUAUCCUAUCAAAAUAUGGAUAAGCUAGUGAAAUCUUGUUAAAUACAAAAAUGGAGAUUAGAUACUGACCGCCAUGAAAAAAUGAGAAUAAUGGCGCGAAAAUCACCUCAAACAGAGCUCUAGAACUUAAGAUAUGCUCAAAAUACCAAAUGAGCGCGAUCUAAUUUUUUUAAUAUACAGGGAUUCCGCUUCUGCGCCCAAAAAGUCACACAUGCAGUCUGCCAUCUGUCAUUUCUGCAUUGACAGACAAUUUUUUCGCACCUGCAGAGUCGUAAACGCGGACCCCAUUUUGCAUCUACGAAGCACCAAUGCCACGACCCCAAUUUUCCUCACUAGGAUGUCGUGAUGGAACCUAGUCUCUACGACUAGGUAAGACUAACAUGCAUAGAGAAAUAACAGAAAUUCUACUAAAAUGUCAAAUUAAACCUUUACACUAUUAUAAUAAACUCGAAAGUACAAUAGCCAACACUUUACCCAAAACCUGGUGGAACGAAGUCAUAAGCUCUACAAGAAUAGUACGAAUUGUCACACCUCCUUUUUCCCGAGGGAGAUAGGAAGUUUUUCAAAUUAAAUUGACAUUAAUCGAAAUGUGAUUAUUUAUUUAAUUUCAGAGUCGCUACUUCGGAUAUUUAUGGUGUCCCAAGUCACCGGUUUAUUUUAAAUCUCAAAUCGAGGAAAUUAACUCUAUUUUGGUCCGCAAACACAGAAGACUGAGUAAGGAAUUCUGUUAACCCGAGAGAAGGUGUUAGGCACUCCUGAGUUCUGUGGUUUUAGCAUGGUCGCUCAACUAUUAAUAUUGGCCUAAUUAUCUGAUUUAUUGUAUGUUUUAAACCUAUUGUGCAUUUUUAACUUUAUAACCGCUUUUAAUUAUUUAUGAAAUUAUUUCUGGAACAAGUCACGAUUGUCGUACACUCAUCGUUUUGGUACACAUUGUAAACCGCAUCACGAGAACUGUACCCACGAUCUACAACAUGUUUAUUUUUAUUAUUGUUCGAAGUUGUGGUCGGGUCACAUGAAAUGUACACCCGAAUUUGGGAAUUAUGUAUCACAACUAUGCCGCGGGAAUCGUACCCACAGUCAUGAUAAUUUAUUAUUAAUCGCGCCUAAAGCAAGCUACGAUGUUCAUGAGUUAUUUCCCUUCAAGAUUAUUGCGAUGCCAUAAUUAUGGAAGUAGAUUUGUGGGAGAGAUAAGAUUAAUCACUAAGAAAUAUUUACAGGGUUCAUUAUACUACUAAGUUAGGAGGGACUAAUGCUACUUAAUAAAUUAUUAAUAUUCUAACUUGAAAUCUCCAAUAAUAGAAACAACUGGAUAUGGAAUAAACUUAAACAAAAGAAGCUAAAAUGUCAAUUAACCCUCUAAACAAGGACGAUGGCCUAGGACAGUCAUAAUUAAAUUUCAAUACCCGCAAUAAAAUAGCAACUUAAAGAUAUCACAUGAAUUAUUAUCUAAUGCAUACAACCAUUUAUCGAUCUUGACAGAAUUAGGCACAAAAACAUACACAACAAAUCAUAUUGGCCCAUUCAAUUUAAUAAAAACUUCUUAUAGCUUUCAAUUCCAAGCUUUCAGAAAAUGAACCUACGAUAAAACAAUAUUUAACUAAAUAGAAAUACUACAAAUGCAAACGACAUGGACACAAACUGCAUGUAACUAAGCCAAUAUCUAGAAUGUGAAUUAGCUAAUUAAGAUAACAAACAAAGGUAUGAUAGUACUAACAAGAGCAAAAAUGAAAAAAAUAAUUAAAGAGAGAAGGAGACCUUACGUGAAGCUUUUCAAAUAAGUGUAUUGAAUAUGAUACUGAAUAGCAAAGUCGAACUCGGAUUGUCAAAACUUGACUGGAGAAAACGGACAGCAACAAAACCCCGGACCGGAGCUUUCGAACGCGACUUCGAACUCAACUUUGGAGUUGCUGAUUUUGUGCGAAAAAGGGAUGUUCUGGGUCUAUUUCAGGGAGUUUUAGGGGGGAAAAGAGGGCUGGUUUGACAGCAUUUUUGUUACAGAUCUGGCUGCUGUCUUGGUGUGAAAACGGGGACGGGUUUUUGGCGGAUAUGGAGCAGCUUUUUGAUGUUGUUUUUGCUGAGUUUUUGGAGUUUAGGGAGUUGUUUUUGGGUGAUUUCAGCUGCUGCGUUUUUGGCAUGAUUUUGGAGGUCUAUUUGGCAGAUGUUUAGAGGUAUUUUUAGGCUGGAUCUUUGGCAAUGUUUUCAGCUCUCCUUUUGGAGCUUUUGAGCAGCUUUUCUAUGACUUUUUGGAGCAUUUUAAUGGAGAUUUCAUUGGUUUUCAUGGUGUUGAAGCUGGGUUUUAUGGUGGUUGUUUAGAGUUGGAUUUGGAGCUAGUUUCAAUGGAGGUUUUAAAAUGGAGAAGGGAAAGGAGCAGCGACUGCUCUAGGCGGGGGGGGGUCCGAUCUUUGAGCUCAAAAGCUUUUGCCCAGCUGCUGCUUUUGAUAAAAAAUAAAAAAUGUGUCAUGAUGGAGAUCACUUUUUGAAGUUCUUGUUUAUUUUCAGAGGGGGGUUU